GGGGAAUAUUGCACAAUGGGGGAAACCCUGAUGCAGCAACGCCGCGUGAAGGAUGAAGGUUUUCGGAUUGUAAACUUCUUUAGUCAGGGACGAAUAAAUGACGGUACCUGAAGAAUAAGCCACGGCUAACUACGUGCCAGCAGCCGCGGUAAUACGUAGGUGGCGAGCGUUGUCCGGAAUUACUGGGUGUAAAGGGCGUGUAGGCGGGAAUGUAAGUCAGAUGUGAAAUCCCAGGGCUUAACUCUGGAUCUGCGUUUGAAACUGUGGGGCUUGAGUGGAGCAGAGGCAGGCGGAAUUCCCGGUGUAGCGGUGAAAUGCGUAGAGAUCGGGAGGAACACCAGUGGCGAAGGCGGCCUGCUGGGCUUUAACUGACGCUGAAGCACGAAAGCAUGGGUAGCAAACA
rnacentral:rRNA from 1 species